UGGUGUUUAAUUGCAGCUAACCCAAGGCGCUUAAGUUCCUUUGACAUACCCUUGUAGGAUUUACAGGAUUUUUUGAAUAUAUCUUCAUUGCAAAUGUCUAUGUCCCUACACUUCUGGAUAUGUCUGUUUAAACCUUGUCUAUAGGCCUGCAUAGUUGUCUUUUUAUAAAGUUCCCCCCCCUCACUUCUCAUUUCCAAAUAAAAUGAGGCCAAUGUAUUGUCCAGUUGCUCCACAGUGUAUUGUUCGAAUUCUAUCGGCUUACUUUUCUCGGUCAAAUAUUCCCUGAAUAGUUUGACUGCUGUGGUUUUCUGCUUUUUUGUGUUUUUUGUUUCUAUAUUUUUCAUUAUAUCGUCCCUUUCAUUUGAUUCAGGGACACGAAUCUACUAAGGAUGACGGGGUAUAGAAAUAUGGUCACUUGUUCUCCCGACCGUCAGUAAAACGCUUGCCGAAGUGGGGCGUCCGUUUACUUGUGCGGGAUGUAUCAAGUUCGCAGUCACGUCCGGUCAGAAGGGGGACGUUAAAUCCGAUGCCUCGUGUAAAGAGAGUGCUACGCUCUUUGCACGUUAGGAACCCUUGCAACAACUCUUUGAGGGGUCCUUAGGUGGCCUGUUGCAAGGCAACAUUUUUGUCCCUAUCCAACAUACCCUUAU
rnacentral:lncRNA from 1 species